AGAUUCAUGCUUGUUAUCUAACCACUUUUUAGCACCAUUCUAGACUUACUGAUUGCAGAUAGUACUAAAGAUACUAAAGUGGAUCAACCUAUCAACUAUGUUCACACUUGCUGAGAUUGUUUGAAGGAACCGAAGCUGACCUCCAACCUAAUUUGACUUAACUGCUUGUCUUGGGGCUUGGUAUACACUGGAUCGGAUUCCUCCUUCAGGUCUGAAAGGUAAAAGUCUGAGUGACUUUGGUUUCCUUCUCUCCUCCCUUUGGCAUCCUAUAAUAAAAUAAAAUAAAAGAUUGAGACGAUUUCUUGCGGUUUAGAGGGGUAGGUACAUUACCGAUGACCCCAUUAUUCUACUCUAAUAGAAUGAUCACACAUUCUUGGAAGCGAGGGGUAGGUACAUUACCAAUGACCCCACUAUUCGCCUACACUUUGUCAAGAAAAGAAAAAAAAAUAAUAAUAAAAAAAUCGAAAAGAAGGUGAAUAAGAUGGACUGCAUCAGCAUCUUUGUUCAUUGGAAUUGAGAUAAAAAAGAUUCAGAGAAGGGAUAUAUAGAGUAAAAGAAACCAGAACAAGACUACCUGUUUACUCAGAUACCUGUUGGGGUAAGAGUCCAUGUGUCUUGUGAUCGAUACUCCCAAAGUAAAGCAUACACAUUUAUUUAUGUUAAGAAAUGAGGUUGGUAGAGGGGAAUGCAGACAUGAUUUGCUAAGAUGUUGGCUAGGUGAAUUUGGCUGCUAAGCUAGGAUAUUGUAUAAUGUGCUUAUGUGAUUAGGACUUCUUAGAAGUGGAUUGCAAUAUUGUAGAGGUGAUGAUUCUAAGUUUUAAAUUAUGUGAGUUCCUGCUGUUUUUAAAACCUCUUUCAAAGAGACUGUCCGUCUGUUUUGCUUGAGGACAAGCAAAAGGGUAAGUCUGGGGGAGUUGAUAGACCAUAUAUUUUACCCAUUUUUAAUCAUGGUCUAUAAGUGUUUUAAAGUG
rnacentral:lncRNA from 1 species